UACACAUGCAAGUCGAACGGUGAACACGGAGCUUGCUCUGUGGGAUAGUGGCGAACGGGUGAGUAACACGUGAGCAACCUGCCCCUGACUCUGGGAUAAGCGCUGGAAACGGCGUCUAAUACUGGAUAUGUGACGUGACCGCAUGGUCUGCGUCUGGAAAGAAUUUCGGUUGGGGAUGGGCUCGCGGCCUAUCAGCUUGUUGGUGAGGUAAUGGCUCACCAAGGCGUCGACGGGUAGCCGGCCUGAGAGGGUGACCGGCCACACUGGGACUGAGACACGGCCCAGACUCCUACGGGAGGCAGCAGUGGGGAAUAUUGCACAAUGGGCGCAAGCCUGAUGCAGCAACGCCGCGUGAGGGACGACGGCCUUCGGGUUGUAAACCUCUUUUAGCAGGGAAGAAGCGAAAGUGACGGUACCUGCAGAAAAAGCGCCGGCUAACUACGUGCCAGCAGCCGCGGUAAUACGUAGGGCGCAAGCGUUAUCCGGAAUUAUUGGGCGUAAAGAGCUCGUAGGCGGUUUGUCGCGUCUGCUGUGAAAUCCGGAGGCUCAACCUCCGGCCUGCAGUGGGUACGGGCAGACUAGAGUGCGGUAGGGGAGAUUGGAAUUCCUGGUGUAGCGGUGGAAUGCGCAGAUAUCAGGAGGAACACCGAUGGCGAAGGCAGAUCUCUGGGCCGUAACUGACGCUGAGGAGCGAAAGGGUGGGGAGCAAACAGGCUUAGAUACCCUGGUAGUCCACCCCGUAAACGUUGGGAACUAGUUGUGGGGUCCAUUCCACGGAUUCCGUGACGCAGCUAACGCAUUAAGUUCCCCGCCUGGGGAGUACGGCCGCAAGGCUAAAACUCAAAGGAAUUGACGGGGACCCGCACAAGCGGCGGAGCAUGCGGAUUAAUUCGAUGCAACGCGAAGAACCUUACCAAGGCUUGACAUAUACGAGAACGGGCCAGAAAUGGUCAACUCUUUGGACACUCGUAAACAGGU
rnacentral:rRNA from 1 species